rnacentral:lncRNA from 1 species
CAGCAUUUCCCCAAAGCAAACCACAAGGGAUGAUGAUGAGUCAUCUGCCUCAGCCGCUGAAGCAGCUUUACCUGAAGCAUAUACAUAAUCAGAAAUGGCAAUAAAUUCAAGCUAACUAGAAAGUAAAGCAACGAUCUUUACUACAAUUGUUUCAGAAAAGAACAAAUGCCAAAAUUACUUACCCCGGGAGCUCAAACGACGAGAGAGAGAAGGGGAAGAGGAGAAUGACGACGGUUUUAGAUUUCCAGGUCUGAAACUAACAGAAGUAUGGCGGGAAUUGAGACCCACGCCGCCGAAGCGAAGAGCAGGUGAGUGAAGUAGAGCCAUGCAACUUGAAAGAAACCCAGAACAGGGAAGAACAAAUCUCAGGCAAAUGAGAGGCGUAAAGAGGCAGCUGCUUUUAGAAGGGUUGUUUGACAAAACUCAGAAGGAAAAGGCGGAAAUUGCAGAGUAGAAUGCGGAUUGCUGAACUGGGGUCGUCAAAAUUGAGGGUGAUUAGAUAAAUAUGCUUUUGGAAUCAGCAUAGGGAUUGAUUGGUUGCUCGAUGAACCCCAACAAGAAACCAAAAAAUAGAAACAGUUGUCUAAAAUUUUGAAAAAAAAGGGUUUAAGAUCUAUGGAAUGAGAUUCUCCUACUCGUAUUCAGAGUUAUUUUGAACUGAAGAAAGUGAGCAGUAGGAGGAGUGACUAGCAGUCUAGCAGAGUACAAGCUCUUCUUGUGGCGGAGAACGCAAGAACAAAUUCCACGUUCUAAUAAUAUAUUUCUAACGACUUUUUCCGUUAUCCCAAUAAUGGGCCAGUAUCUG